rnacentral:rRNA from 1 species
UACGAGUGCCUCGAGCGUUAUCCGGAAUUAUUGGGCGUAAAGGGUGCGUAGGUGGUUGUGUUAGUCUUGUGUUAAAUUUACCGGCUCAACCGGUAAGCUGCAUGGGAAACGGCAUGACUUAGAGGUUGGAAGGGGUUUGCGGAACUCAUGGUGUAGCGGUGAAAUGCGUUGAUAUCAUGGGGAACACCAAAAGCGAAGGCAGCAAACUGGUCCAUACCUGACACUGAGGCACGAAAGCGUGGGUCGCGAAUGGG